AGUUUAUUUGAAAAGAAUUGAUUUUGAUCCUUGACAUGCUUGUUCUUAAUAUUUUAAUGCAUGACUUAACACAUAAUAUAUUUUGCAUGUGGCAUGAUGUUUUGAAUUAUGGGUUCUCAAUAUUUUGUAAUGCUCCAUGCUUGGAUAAGUUGAUUGAAAUAUGUCUUAACUUGGAAUAUGUCUUAACUUUGCUCACAAGUCUUUGCUUCACCCUUGCCUCAAAC
rnacentral:lncRNA from 1 species